GGUUCCCAAACUCUUCCGCAAGCACGUCCAUGCUGUGCUGCUCACGACGAAGGGAGAAGCCAGCAGAGCCGCCACGCCCGCUUUCGGCUGCCCCAAGCAAACCGCAGCGCCCGGCAUUGGAAUAACCACUUCUGUGCAUUCUCUGAUUUAAUGAUCAACCGCAGGGAGCACCCUGGAUGGAUGGAGUGGCAGAAGAUAUUUCAAGCAGAGAAAAACAGCAUGACCAAUGACUUGAGGACUUUACAUAGGACCACAUUCUGGCAAUUGAGUGUAAUCUCCAUAGGGCUUGUCUAUAAGGAAGUGUCUGUAGGUGACACUAGAAAGAUCCAUUGGGACUGGGCCAUUGUUAGCCCUUAUGCCAUGUUAAAGAAAUAAGACCUUAUUCUGAGAGGCUUCAACAUGAAGACACUGUAAACAAAAAAGGAUUAUCCUGUCUUCAAAACCUUGAUGCAUCCAGACUGGGAGAAAACAUGUGUGAUCCUGGUUUCCAAACUUGAGUAAAUUCACAAUAGAACUAGAAAAGGCUAGAGCAAUGUUGGAGAAAGAAUAUGGGCUCUUCAGUCUGAAAAGGCAAGGGCAAAGAGGGCUUCAGUGAAGCCUAUCAUUUCAUAAACAGCAAGGUGAGGGUGAACACGGGCCGAAACCUCUACUGUAAUCAGAAAAAAACAGCUUAUGUUUUGAGCAAGGGUGGAUGGUCUGAAGCCUUUUGCUGCCUGACAUGCCCACAAAGCCCUUCUCUGAAACAGCCUUGCAUUGUGUCAUGGGACCCAACCAUGCUGUAAGAACUGAUUGGGUCAGGAACCUGCCAAAGACAGCCAUGUAGGGGAGCUGACAUGGCCCCUACCCAGUGCAGGAGAGUAGGGAAGAGGAGUGUCUGUACUGACUAAUGGCAGUUAGACCCAAUCACUUCUCUCCUGGGACGUUAUUAAUUAAGAGGUACCAAAAGGGAGGGCGGCCGCAUAAAGAAGUAGUGAAGUAAAACACCAAGGAAGCGUUUGGUAGCAUCACAACAGUGAGAAAUACUUUUGAUCGGAUGACCUAGAGAAACCAAUAUAGCAAAAGGUUUUAGCGCACACAUUCCAGGGUUAGACUCUUUGGUGUGUUUAAAGACACCCACCAGCUCUGUAACCUUGGACAACUUCUGUAGCUAAUCUGAGCUUCAUUUGCAUCUAUAGAAAUAAAGAUAAAGCCUGCCCUACAGGGUGUUGUGCAGUUAUAGGAGAUCAUGUGUAUGAAGCGCUUAGGGUAUUCCUUGCCAUAUGGUAAGUGCUCAGUGGCUAUUAUUAUUUUACUUGAAAGAAAAAAGAAUUAAGGGCACCUGGGUGGUUCAGUCAUUUGAGUGUCCAACUCUUGAUUUCAGCUCAGGUCAUGAUCUCAGGGUCAUGGGAUUCUCCCUCUUUUGUCUCUCUCUCUUCCCACCCACACUCUGUAAAUAAUAAAAAAUAAAGAAUUAUAUUCAGAUCCUCCAUCAAGCCUGCAAGUGCAGCUGGUGAGACAGA